GCGCUGCUCCGGGGCCUCUCGCGGCUCACAGCGUCCCGCGGGGCCGGCGCCGGGGCCAGGGCCGGGGCCGAGCCCCGGCGG
rnacentral:miRNA from 1 species